AGUCAGCAGUGCAGUGCUAUUGCAAAAAAAGUAACCUUUAACAUUUUAACAGCAAUGUUUGACAAAUUCCAUAUCAGAUUCCUACGUGUAACCUAUAAAGAGGGGCUGCUUUUAUGUAUGUGCAUUCAGAUGUGUUGGAGAUGGGCGGUUCCUAAGUAUGGGUCUUUGCAUUUUUUUUAACUUUUGUGUACCUUUUUAAGUUCUAUGAUGUAAUGAUUUAAAUGCAUGAUUUAAUGC